rnacentral:misc_RNA from 1 species
GUGGCGUUUGAGACGGCGGGUGGAGUGGGGUGUGCGUCGUGCGGAAAUUGUGAAUAUAUUGCUCAGUCUGUGAUUGUGCGGUUGGCAAAGUGUGACAUGUCCGACAUGCUGUUUGCGUGCUCUAGGUGUUUUAGCAGACAUCCAUUUGAGGAACUUUCGCAGGGACAGCAGCUUUGUAAGGAGUGCCGCGGGAGUUUCCCUGUGGUAAAAUGCACCUACUGUCGAUCCGAGUUUCAGCAGGAAAGCAAGGGCAGCACGUCCACCAUCUGCAAGAAAUGCGAGCAGAUGGUGAAGGCGCACGGCAAGCCGACCGCCUGCGACUACUGCAACGUGAUCGCCGCCUUCAUCGGCUCGCGGUGCCAGCGCUGCGCCAACUCGGAGAAACGCUACGGUCCGCCGCAGGCCUGUGAACAGUGCAAACAAAAGUGCGCCUUCGACCGCAAAGACCCCGAGGACAAGAAAAAGGUGGACGGUAAGCUACUCUGUUGGCUCUGCACGCUCAGCUACAAACGCGCCCUAGCCAAGACAAAGUCCACCGACCCCGCUCGCCACACCCACGUCAAACUGGGCAAAAACCAGGAGAAACGCAAACCAAAGUACUACGUGUCGAAGCGGCCGGACCGCCCGGACGUCACCCGCCAGCCGCUGGAGGGCUCCGAGCCCAAGAAGGCGCGCAAGGACGAGCAGUCGGACCACGUGGUGGCCAUGACACAGCUGAGGGAGGAGAUCGCCAGCCUGCAGCGCCAGCUGCAGCUCAAAAACCAACAGAUGCUCGGAAAGGACAAGGAGAUCUGCGAGCUGAAGGCCAAGAACCUGCGCAACGAGCAGGACAUCCGGCGCAAGAUGAACGAUCAGCAGAAGGCGCACGAGGCCAAGGUGGAGACGCUGCAGGGCCGCAUCCGUUCCCUCAGCAAAGAGGUGGCGGCGCUCUCCAAGCGCUCCAAGGCGGGCGGCGGCUCGGCGCUGGCCUCGGCCGACAGCGCCAGCAACAGUCCGCUGGUCUGAGCGGCGCCACGCUCUCAUUAGUGGCGGCACGUGGCACGUGCAGUGUGCCGCCGGUGUGGUCACGCGGCAAUGACUGCGCCUGUUCACAGGUGGUGGCGGCGGCGGAGCGCGGGCGGGCGAGCCAGGCCGAUAUAUCAGCAAAGGCGCUGACGCAGUCGUCCAGCACUGUGCGGCCGGGAGCGGCCUCCCAGCGAACGCCACUCGGCUUCUGAGACACCCAGAACGCCUGAAAACCGGCUGCCGGGCGGACAGAGUGCCCGGUCAGCCGGUCCCAGCUCAGAUUGUCAGCUAAAGUCGGGCACAUUCGAACUCAGUCGGACUCGGAACUCACUCCUGAGAGGGCGAGAUGUGCGCGGUAAUGGCAGGUCACAAAUCAAGAGAUCGUCUGUUCGACGGCCUUGUGCCGACAUCGAUGCCCGUUUAAAUCGGCGGCCCUCUCCUCCUGGAUGAGGCAGUGUACAGUCGGCACUCACUGUCCGAAGGCCGCGAACGAGUUGUUGGCGGCGCGGCAGGCCUGGAGGCAGCCCUGGAGGGUGGAAUCCCGAGCCUGCCGCCACUUGGUCGGCUCCGUGGUGCACGUCCACCCCUCGGGCACUGACGGCGGUGGGUAGUGCAAUGUAAUGGUACGGAAUGGCGGUCAAAGAGUCGCAAGUUAAAUGCGUGUUUCUAUAGGUACGGAUGUAAUGUUUCAUUGAAUAGUUUCAGAUUUGAGUGCUUAAAGCUGUGACGUCAAUAGCUGUGAUAUUUGUUUCGUGACCGUGGCAUUUUACGUGAACGUUAUUACGUCAGUUGUGAUUCUCUGUGAACGGGAUAACAAUAAACUCGUGUCAAUUCUUAUUCUUA